UCUUAAUAUUUAAAAGUUUUUAAGUUAGAUUGGAGUAUAUAAUUAGAGUCUAAAUUAAAUAAAAUUUUUAUAAUAUUUUAUUGGGGAGAUAUAAAUAGAAUUAUUUAUCUGUUUACAAUUUUUUACAGAAAAUUUUUGAAGUUGAAGAAGAAUUUAGAUCCUUUAAAAUAAAGAUUGAAAAAAUAAGUU
rnacentral:rRNA from 1 species